rnacentral:rRNA from 1 species
CCGUAGCCCAAGAGAUCGGGAUAACACCUGGAAACAGAUGCUAAUACCGGAUAACAACAGAUGAUGCCUAUCAACUGUUUAAAAGAUGGUUCUGCUAUCACUCUUGGAUGGACCUGCGGUGCAUUAGCUAGUUGGUAGGGUAACGGCCUGCCAAGGCGAUGAUGCAUAGCCGAGUUGAGAGACUGAUCGGCCACAUUGGGACUGAGGCACGGCCCAAACUCCUACGGGAGGCAGCAGAG